UAAAAAUUUUACAUUUAAAAAAAAUAUUUUUGCAGGAAAAACGGUUAAUUUUUAAAAAAAGAAGCUAUUUAUCCAAAAAUAAAUUGAAGGGUAUGUUGGUCAUUUCCUUCAUUUGGCCAGCGAUUGUUUAAGCAAAACGCACAUGGGAACAAGACUGAAACUACCACUUAUCAAGGUUUGCUGGAGCGAACAAACGGCUACACGGAUUUAUACGGGAAGUAGCCCGACAAGUAGUCCAGUCCAAUCCAGUCCGGAGAGGGAGGACUCCUGUCCAGUCGGCAAAAACGAGGCCCUAGGGUCCAGAGUCCAGACCAGAGACACGGAAGGAAGAUUUUGUGGUAAAUUUCACUAACCUCUCUUGAUUUUUUGACAAAUACAAACUCCUCUAUUAUAAUUUUAAAAAUAGCAGUAACAUCACUCACUUUUAAAACUAAUGAUAAAAAUUUUCAUUUAAGCUAAUUUUUUACAAAAAUAACAAGAUUGUCUUUUUAUUAGAGACAAUGAUCUUUAUUGAUCUAAACAAUGAUGAUAUGUUGUUUUGGACCCAUAAAUUUAUUAGAGCAACUAAUAUUUGGGACACCACAACUUUGGAGAAUAGCUAAUAAUUCGACAUCCAAUGGUUGUUUAUGUCGAAUUAGCUUCUUAUAUUUUCACUUUUCUAAUUAGGUUUUGAUUGCACACUUCGAAUCAGGGCAUUAUUCUCAUGAAACCGAUAUCUUUCGAGUCCUGGCAAAGCUGGUUCAUAAGGCUAUCCUUGGUUCAUAAGGCUACCUUAAACAUAACUAUUUAGAAAUGCUUAGUGUGUGGGUCUUUUGUAAGUUAAGAGAGAUGUGAUUAGAAAGAAAAUCAAAAAUAACAUCGUUGACGGGCGAACAGUGGUAAUAUUGGCAUGCUGGACCUAGCUGCAAUACACAUGAGAGCUACAGAGGUGUUUGUUGGCUUGCUGGACCUAGCUGCAACAUCUGAGAGCUGAGAACAAACAGACCGUCGGAGCUCUCCGACUGUCAAAUUAGAAGACCGGAGAUGAUAUGUAUAUCUAUGAUGUAAAGAUAAGAGUAUAUGUAUUUUCCCCAUCAAACUCCAUAUGCCGUGUAGAGAGAGAAGUGGUUGUAUGUUCUUCUAGGUCCAAUUUUGCGUACCUUGGUGAAAGCAACACGAAUCCGUUUGAGCCUAGCUUAAGCAGGUAGGCUAUUGACCUAACCUACCAUGCCCCUAAGGCUUGUUGGUAAGGUAGUCAUCAUGUCUCUGAUUCAGCAUGGACUGCAGAGGAACCUUUUUUCGUGCAAGCCAUUCCUCUGUCCCUAACAUGCCUUGGGACCGUAUCACAUUGUCACAUCUCUACCUAGCUCAGGUAUCUCGGUCAGGCCGUCUUGACCUAGUCAAUCGUCUCAACCUAAGCUCAGGCAUCUAAGUUAGGCGUCUUGACGUAGCUCAAGCGUCUCGCUAGCUCAGGGCGUCUCGACGCUAGCUCAAGGCAUCUCGGUCAAUGGCGUCUCGACCAUCUCAACAUCUCGUCUAGCUCAAGCGUCUCGGUCUAAGCUCAAGCAUCUUGACCUCUAGACCUAUCGCAGCAUCUCGUAGGCGUCUCGACCUAGCUCAGCUCGGCAUCUCGGUCAGACGUCUUCGACCUAGCUCAAGCUUCUCACCUAGCUCGGCCAAGCUAGUACUUGAUUAGUUUUAUUCCCUUAACAUUGCCCCUCAGUUCGCAUGACUGGAUCAUUCUGAUCGAGGUCAUGCAUGUGAGCUGAUGUUCAACAUAAAAUCUUCGUCGGGGAGAGCUCGGAUUGGGAGAGCUCCCUUCAAUAGACAACUUUCAUGUGGGAGAGCUUUGGUACUCAACACGAGCUCGGGAAGCUUCUCUCCCCAUGAAAAACUUCGUCGUGAGAGCUCGGAGCUGGGGGAGCUCGGAGAGCUUCUCUCGCAAUAGACAAAACCUUCCGUGGGGGUAGCUUCGGAGAUCUCCCCAAAUGAAUUUUGUCCGAUGUGCUAUAGUUGGAUUCCCCACAGAACUGCGCCAAUUGUGGGGUUCUUUUUGUACGAUAGAGAUGAAGAAGAACCAAAAAUAGACAUCUCGACGGCGAACGGUGUUACUAUUGGCAUGCUGGACCUAGCUGCAAACACAGGAGUACAAGUGUUGUUGGCGUUCUGAACCUGCUGAAUACAGGAGAGCUGAGAACAUACCGUCGUGAGCUCUCCACGGCCCUCACGACCGGCAAGUUAGAAGACCGAGAUGAUAUGUAGAUCAAGAUGUAAAGAUAAAAGUAUAUGUAUUCUCAACUCAAUAUGCCGUGUAAGAGAGAAAUUUGUAUGUUAUGUUGUUCUAGUUCCAAUUGCGUACGCGUGGUGAGAGCAGCAACUCUCCUUUAUAGCCUAGCUCAGCAGUAGGGCCUCCUUACCUAGCCAUGCCCCUAAGCUUGUUGGUAGGUAGUUAUCAGGUCUCUGAUUCAAGCAUGGGAGCCUUCAGGGAAGCCUUUUCGUGCAAGCCCUUCUCUGUCCCUGACAUGCCUUGGGACUGCAUCAGCUUUGCCAUCUCACCUAGCUUAGGUAUCAUCUCGGUCAUGCGUCUCGACCUACUCAGCGAUCUCGGUCAGGCGUCUCGACCUACUCAGGCAUCUAGUCAUGCGUCUGACGUAUGCUCAAAGCGUCUCAACCUAGCUCAGGCAUCUCAACCUAGCUCAGGUAUCUCGUCAUGCGUCUCGACUAGCUCAAGCAUCUCGGGCUAGCUCAAGCGUCUGAACCUAAUAGCCAGGCGUCUUCGGGUCAGGUCGUCUCACCAACCUCAAUCGUCUCGAACCUAGCCUCAGGCAUCUCGGCAGACUUCUUGACCUAGCUCAAGGCGUCUCGACCUAGCGCGGCCAAAAUUAGUACUUGAUAUUUUAUUCCUUUACACUUAGUAUUAUUAAUUCCAUUUCCUUCGUUUUCAAAUGUCUUGACAAAUGGUUUGGCGUGGAUCAGAUCGCAAAACCACGAAUUUCAACCAAAUUCGAAACUAAUUCGUGGAUUUAUGAUUAUCCCGUGCAAAAUGGUAGGAAACAAGCUACCCUGGGUAGAGUUUCGGACUCAAGGGGGAAUCUUUAAGAAGACAAGCCGCCAUUGCACCAAGUUAUUUGAUUGAUAAAAAAGAUGUUCUACAAAUUAUAUAUUAUAACAACUUGGUAAAAAAUAUUACAAUACUUAGAGGUCAAAUUAUACCAAUAUUAAUAAUAUAAAAGUAUUAUAAUACAUAUUACUAAUUUACUACAAAUAUAGUACUCUAUUAGCAUAGAGAAGACUAAAGAAAACAAAUAUUUGACUAUCUUUUAUUGUAAAAAUUAUAUAAUAUAGACGCUCUCGGGAUGAUUUUGAUACUAAAUUUUUUAAAACUUGUCACUCUCUUGCUUUUGCUCUCACUCUCGCUCCCGUUCCUGCUCUCUGAAUUUGUGACUUAGUGUUGGUUACGAAUCUUUGUGUUUUAGUUAUGAAUGGAUGUGUAUCAUAGGAAAUUGGAGUUGUGCAUUUCUUGUGGUGGGUCGUGAUGUUUUUUUGUCUCUCUUGUUACGACUUUUUGACGUGUUAAUUAUAUUUUAUUUUGACUAAUCAAGAAUAAGGGUUUAUGUUGCGCAUUGAACAUAUUACGGAUUAUUGUUAUUAGUUAAAAAAUAAAUAAAGUUGAUAACGAAUUAUUGUGACGAAUUACGAGUUAGGCAACUAUGGAGGGCUUCCUCCAAAAAGAGUAAAAAAUUAAAAAUAAAGGAAUGCAGUAUAUCUAGAUCUCAGUCUAGUGAUCAACCACCUCUCAGAAAUAAAUUUCUUGAGUAGUAACAAGUCUAUAAUUUCAUCCUUCAAUGGACAAAUCGCAUUUGCCGGAUUUUUUGUCGUCUAAUUGCCCAACAAAAUUAGGUUCACUUUCAUCUACUUUCCAAUAUUGCAUCCUCUUCAUCCGAACUACUACUACAUUAAUAAUAGAUGAUAGGUAGAGAUUUAAAAACUGGACCAAGCUCAAGAACGAGCUUAGAAUUUAAGUUUAGUUAUAUAUAAGAAUAUACUGGGAACAUAAAGUCUUCAGCACUGUUCAUUGGUUAGGAGUUACUCUUAAAUAGUGAUAUCAGUUCUUGUUAUCAGUUCAACUCGGGUUUAUUCUCUUGUUUGCAUGAUAUGAUGAUGAUUACAAUCUAAUUUUUAUCAUUUCGGGGUAGAUCGGUCUCUUGAUUAUCAAAUCUCUUUGAUUUAGAGAUGGAUCACCUCCUCUCACCACUCCACAUCCGCCAAAUCUGCAUGAUUUCCAGACAUACCACUCCAUAACACAUGACGAGAUUAGACAAGUCUAGAGACAACAAUCCAAACUAUAAAAGGUUUGGGACUCUUUGACUGAAUAUAUUACAUACUUCUUCUACUACACUCUCUCUCUCUCUAUAUAUAUAUAUCUAUAUAUAUAUAUUCUUUCUACAUUCUAUCAUUUUCAAGUUCUCUAACUUGAUUGUUGGAGUGUCCUUGACUAGUAAUCUAAAGGUGUCAAAUGGGGUCCUGACACGGGUACGAAACGGUAUAAUACGAGGCACAAAAAAAUCGGGCCAAAAUUUUUAUUAAAUGAACACGAUAUGAUACGGUGCGACCCGUUUGAUACCUCUACCUAAUACCAUACCGGUGCCUUUUGACUCACUCUUUUUCUUAUUCUCAAGCCACUUGGAAGCCUUUUUUUGACCAGGAAAACCAGUACCACGUCAAUAAAAGAAAUUGUAAUAAUAGGAAAGAAUGGGGAUAGAGGAGGUUUUCAUAAACCAGUAUCACUGUCAAUAAAUUAUUAUUAUUUUAACGGGCAUGUUUGGUUUGGUCAAACCUUUCCGAUCCAAUGAAAUUACUCAGUUUAGUAUUUUCAUGCUCAUGUGGAGGAGAAUGCUUAUGUGGAUGGAUAAGUGUUGGGUUAUGCUAUAUUCACCGUUUAGUUUAUCACCGCAGCUACCAAAACGAGGUAGGAAAAAAAAGUUCUUAAAUAAUUUACUUGCAUUUCAUGAUAAAUUACUCAUACCAUUUUCGUUAAAAAAAUUUCUCACUAAACAAAACCCUAGAUUCACCCUCCCAAUGUCAUAAAGUUCUUAAAUCUUUCUAGAGAAAAAAAUGUAUUCUUACCUAUUUCAAAAAUAAAAAUAAAAAAUUGUAUCUACCCAUGCAGCCAUGGAUGUACAUUUUUUGUAGUCUUUCCCUUUGGGGAAUUAUCCUCUGACAAAAGGGUUCUCAUUCUAACAAAUGAAUACUACAAAAUUCUUGCAGUGUGACCUCGGUCUCCAUGUGAGGUAUGAUAGAUUGUAAAGACAAAAAAUAAAUUUUGUUCUAUUAUUAUAAAAUAUGCACUCCAAUAUAUAGAUAUAGAUAUAAUAGAUAUAGAGAGACUUUUUGUUUCAAGUAUUCCACAUAAAUAUUAAAUAUUGGAAUGUUGUAAAAAAAAUUACAAAAAAGGUACUUAUCUUUAUCUUUGUAAUUGUAUAAGAGUAUGUUAAAAGAAACUAUAUUUGUAUGUUGUGUGUGCCAUACUAUAUGAAUGUAUAGUAUUAUCGAUAGAUAGUGUAUAGGGACUAUAUACUACAGAUAUUGAGUUUAUCUAUGUUUUUUAAAACAAAAAAAUUAUCUCUUUGGAACAUGGACUUUUUCAUAUAAUCGUAUAGGCUAUGAAUAAAUUAUAAAAAAAUACAUUAUUUUUAUUAUAUUUCAAAAUUGAACGGUAAACACAAAUUUUUUUAAAAAUUAUUCGUACAAACGCAUUAUACGUAUAUAGUACACGAAUUUACUUACAAGGGUUUUAUCAAUCGGCUUCUAAAAAGUACUCUACAUCACAACUUAAAAAAAAAAAGUUAAAGCUGGAACAUAAUUCUAAAGGUUCACUUAACUUAUGUUUUUGGGCCUAAUGUCUAUUUCUUCGAAUAAGCCCGGUAGGGAUAAUAUAUUUUUUCGAAUAUUUUUUCCAUUUGGUUUUCAAGUUUAUUUUUAGUGAUUUUUUUUUCAUUUUUAAUGAGUUUUUUUUCACUUCUAUGUAAAUUUUUACUCUUGAAACUCCUCUCGUCAAAAAGAAAUUCAAAAAAAUAAAAGUACCAAAUAAUGAAAAGCGCUCACUAAAAAACAAAACAACAAAAUCAAAAAUAAAAUGGGUGGAUCCUCAUCGUAACAUAGUAUAUUUCUAGGAAAAAUCAAAGAACGAAAAAAAAGGGGGAUAAGAUAUCCCAAAAAUUAAAUGCUCUACACAUAAAAUUGAAUAAUACAAUUACAGUCUUAGUUCGCCAAAGUAAAAAAAAUGUCUUUUCUUUUUCCCCCCCUUCCCAAUUUUUUAUUUUUUUUAGUUCCUUUAUAACCUUGCACAAAAGAAAAAUAAUCUUAAAAAGAGUGAAAACAAAAAAAAACAUGUUUCUUUUUUGCCUUGUACUCAAAAUUCUUGAAAAUAAAAACAGAAAACUCAAAAUGAAAGUGUUACCAAACAAGGCCUUGUUAGUCCCAACAUAACACCUAAAAUUGAAUCAAUUAUGUACAUAUAUUAUAAUCGAGGAUAUAAAAUAAUUUAACGUUUUAAAUUAUUAUUUUACUAUCUCGGUUUUAUUUUUUAAAUUAAAUAUCCCCUUAUUCAGUUAAAGUGUGGGAUCAACAUAGUAGCUUGAUAAUCAAAUGGCCAAAAAACCUCUAAACCUAUGCAUAUUUUUUACUCAUGGGAUAAUUUUUUUAAUGGGACUCACACACAAAAAAAUUAAAACACAGCAGUCUUUCCCCCUCAUUUCUCCAAAAGCUAACAACACUUUUUCAAAAUCAUUAUACUUUCUAAUUUGUUCUCCAUUUUGUAGCAAUAUAAUUCUUCGUAUAUGCAUGCAAUGUAUUUUUUAUUUAACGUUUAUAUUUUGUCUAUUUUUUAGGUUAUAAAAUUCUAAUAAGUACGAUUAAGAAUUGAUCUGUUUUUUUUUUUGACAUAGUGUAUGUGGGAAAAAACAAUUACUAAUAUAUAUACAUACACAAAAAAAACAGAGAAACUCAUGGAGGCAAUGUGUGCACGCGCUCAAGCAGGGGCGGACGAACAUAGAGUCCAGCAGGGCAACAGCCCCCUGAUUUUCUAAAAUUUAUAUAAAAAAAUUUAUAUAUAUAUUUUUACAUUUUAACCCUCUAAUUGAAAAUUUUGACUCCUGCUUUCAGUGUUGGUUUGAAUUGUCUCAAAGAUAAGAGUCAUAACACGUGCCAUAAAAGUCUGUGACUCUGCGGGCGAUCGAAGGCGGAUUCGCGAAUAAAUCAAUUUCCUCUCUCUCUCUCUCUCUCUCUCUCUCUCUGAUUCUUAAUUAUGUGUAGUUGUUGAAGCUCCUUACAGCAUGACAAGUCAAGAGAUUCAUGCAAAAAACAUAUGCCUUGGCUUUGACGAAUCAAACCUUCUUUUUUUUUUUUAUGUUUAUCUAUAAUUCAAUUGAUAGGAGGGAUUAGAGAAGAGGAAAACUACGUUUUGUAGCCGUGUUAAAACUCAAGUUGGCUUUCCACUUUGAAUUCAGAAAAGUUAUCAGAAUUCAAAAUGAGUUGUUUAGAUUCACUUAAUUCUAUGAGAUCUACACUUCAUUUAGUUUGAAUUUUGAUAAAUUUUUUAAAUCUAAAUUUUGGUACCAUAAUAUUCUCGCCAUAAAAACAUUAGGUAUUGCCAUGUUGAUUAGCUCUACUUAUACAAAUGGCUAAAAAUUAGCAUGACCAUAGUGUUUGUUUCAAAUGCAUUUUUAUCAUUUCUUCUCGUGAAAUUACUACAUACUUUCGGAGUAUGAUAUCGGAUGAAUGCAUAGUACAUCCACAAUUGUCUCUCCACUAUUUAAUAAUGUGAGUCGUCAUGUCCUAGUUACAAAAACUUAUAUAUAUAUAUAUAUUUUCUUAUGCGUUUCAAUUCAUGGAAGUCUUCACUUUAUUUUUAAUUAAUUUACUUGAAUUCACGAUGAAUUACUCAUAAACAUUUCGGUAUAAAAAAAUUCUCACUAGACAAAAACCCUAGAUUAACCCACCAAUGUCAUAAGUUCUUAAUUUCUAGAGAAUAUAAGAUAUGCACUACAAUAUUAUAUAUAGAGAGAGUUUUUGUUUCAAGUAUUCCAGCAUAAGUAGUAUAUAUUGGGAAUGUUGUAAAAAAAAUUACAAAGGUACUUUAUACUUUAAUCUUUGUAAUUGUAUAAAGAGUAUGUUAAAAGAACUAUAUAUUGUAUGUUGUUGUGCCAUACAUAUAUGAAUGUAUAUUAAUUAUCGAUUAAGAUAUUGUAUAGGGAAUAUACUACAGAUAUUGAGUUUAUCUAUGUUUUUUAAAAAAAAAAUUAUCUCUUUGUUAACCUGACUUCUUUCAUAUAAUUCGUACGGCUAUGAAUAAAUUAUAAAAAAAUACAUAUUUUUUUAAUUAUAUUUCAAAAUUGAAAACGGUAACACAAAUUUUUUUAAAAAUUAUUCGUAACACACGCAUAUUAUACGUUAUGUACACACGAAUUUACAACUUCCAAGGGUUUUAUCAACGGCUUCGUAAAAAUUACUCUAUCACAUACUUAAAAAAAACAAAGUUAAAGCUGGAACAUAAUUUCUUAAAGGUUCACUUAACUUAUGUUUUUGGGCCUACAUGGUCUAUUUCUUCUACUUAAGCCCGGUUCGGGAUAAUAUAUUUUUUCGAUUUUUUCCCUUUUGGUUUUCAAGUUUUAUUUUUAGUGAUUUUUUUUCAUCUUAAUGAGUUUUUUUCAAAUUAUAUGUAAAUUUUUAUUCUUGAACUCCUCUCGUCAAAAGAAAUCAAAAAAAUAAAAAGUACCAAAUAAUGAAAAGCGCUCACUAAAAACAAAACAAAAAAUCAAAAAUAAAUGGGUCAUCAUCGUAACAUAGUAUAUUUCUAGAAAAAAUCAAAGAAAAUAAAAAGGAUAAUAUAUCCAAAAAAAUUAAAUAGCUCUACACAUAAAAUUGAAUAAUACCAAUUAAAGUCUAGUUUCGCAAAGUAAAAAAAUGUCUUUUAUCAAAUCACAAUUUUUUAUUUUUUUUUAGUUUCCUUUAUAACCUUGCACAAAAGAAAAAAUAAUCUAAAGAUGAAAACAAAAAAAAACAAUGUUUUUUUUUUGCCUGUACUCAAAAUUCUUGAAAAUAAAACAGAAAACUCAAAAUGACGUGUUACCAACAAGGCCUUGUUGUCCCAACAUAACACCUAAAAUUGAAUCAAUAGUACAUAUAUUGAUAAUAUAGAUAAAAAUAAAUUUUAAAUGUUUUAAUUAUAUUUACUAUCUACGGUUUUUGUUUUAAAUUAAUAUCACUUCAUUUCUUUUAAAAGUGUGGAUCCACAUAUGUUGUAAUAAAUGGCCAAAAACCUCUAAACCUAUGCAUAUUUUUUUACUCUGGGAUAUUUUUUUAAUGGGACUCCACACACAAAAAAAUUAAAACACAGCAGUUCCUUCCCCCUCAUUUCUCCAAAAGCUAAAACACUUUGUCAAAAUCAUUAACUUUCUAAUUUGUUCUCCAUUUUGUAUCAAUUUCUUCGUAAAUAUGCAUGCAAUGUAUUUUUUAUUUAACGUUUAUAAUUUUGGUCUAUUUUUUUAGGUUAUAAAUUUCCUAAAUAAGUAGAUUCGAAUUGAGUCUUGUUUUUUUUUUUGACAUAGUGUAUGUGGGAAAAAACAAUUACUAAUAUAUAUACAUACACACAAAAAACAGAGAAACUCAUGGAGGCAAUGUGUGCACGCGCUCAAGCAGGGGCGGACGAACAUAGAGUCCAGCAGGGCAACAGCCCCCUGAUUUUCUAAAAUUUAUAUAAAAAUUUAAUAUAUAUAUUUUUCUUUACCCUCCUAAUUGAAAAUUUUUGACUCCUGCUUUAGUGUUUGUUUGAAUUUGUCUCAAAGAUUAGAGUCCAUACCACGUGCCAUAACAGUCUGGGACACUCUGCGGGCCACCCGGGGAAUCGAAGGCGAUUCGCGAAUAAUCAAUUUCCUCCUCUCUCUCUUCCUUCUCUUCUCUUCUCUUCCUCUCGCUCUACUCCCUCCUCAUCCUCUCUCUCUUCUCUGAUUCUUAAUUAUGU
rnacentral:lncRNA from 1 species